rnacentral:rRNA from 1 species
GGCCACAGCCAUAUCACCCUGCAGCCCAAGACCGGUUACUCACUGAAGCUAAGCAGGGCUAAGCCUGGUUAGUACCUGGAUGGGAGACCACGAGGGAACACUAGGUUGCUGUUGGAA